ensembl:lincRNA
CAAAAUCAUUGCUUAUUUUUGCCAGAAGAUUUGAUUUUGACUUUUCGAUAAUUCUACAGGCAAUGCAAUUUGUGGACAAGCCCAUGAAACCCAAAGGUGAAAAAGGGAAACAGGUUUACACAGACAGCCCUUCCUGCCACGUCUGCAGACAUUCCUGCUGGAAUCUAAUCACCUUUGUCUUUAACCAGGCUUCCUGCCCACAUCUUACCAGCAAAGUUUGCUUUACUUUCCUGAGGAUACGCACGUGCACCCUGGAUCUCAUCUCCACAUGCAGGGUGGUGGG